UUGGAGACCCAGUUGAGAUCUCUUUUGAAUGGUGGUCUCGUUCUCAGGGGAAACGUACAUUUACUGCCUAAUUACCGACGCCUGAGGAAAGCCAGAGACAAGAAGGCUUUCCAAAAAUACAGAUAGCUUUUUCUGUGGCUUAUUAAUUCUUCACAUGCAUCCUGCCCCAGUGUCUCAACAGUGUCAUUGGACAUGCUGGAAAUAGAGACUUUGAGGGGAAAAAGAACAAAGCAGCUUUUACUUUGAGCCUGGAGGCUUUGCUUGACAACAAUGCAACAUAGCUCUUAUCUGAAAAUGAAAAGAGGGAGACAUAAGUAAAACUGGUUGUGCAACUAACCAUUUCAUUGUGAGCGAAGUAAAUAGUCUUAUCCUCUUUUAAAGGGAAUGAGAAACGCUGCCCAUAUCUUUUGUUGAUGUUAAAGGUGCUUCAUUGCUCUUUUAGUUGGAUAGAGGCUGAUGUGGAUAGGUUGUGUAUCAUUCCAUCAUCUUCAAAAUCCAAGAACAAAACUGUGCAAAGCAAUUAUGACCCAAAUUGCAUUGGUGGUUUGUGCUGAAGUGUGCUAAAUUAAGUGGUAAAUUAUUUGAAGCAUGAAAUAAUCAA